rnacentral:tRNA from 1 species
UAUAUUUUAGUGUAAAGGCACAUCAAGUUUUGAUCUUGAAGGAGAUGGUGUAAUUCCGUUGAAUAUAG